UAAGAUAGUUAUUCAACUAAUAUAGCUUCUAACUAUAUAAAGAGAGGUUAAUCCCUUUCUAUCUUAA
rnacentral:tRNA from 1 species